rnacentral:lncRNA from 1 species
GGGAGCGGAGUGGUCGCCCAGCGCGCGGGGGGACGCGGGCUGCACUCCCGGGCAGGCGCUCUGCAAUGAGACAGUAAAUGCAUCCCCCGUGCGCUGCUGCAGGGUGACAUCUGGACUGGCCUCCUUGUCCCUCGGAUGCUCGGCUGCCCAGAAGUUUCUGGAUCAACUUGUUGAAGACCAUGAGUAAUCUUCAUUUCUACUUCGCAAGCAGCUCUAGACCUGUGGCAUCUCCAGCCAGGUCUGGCUGAUGGACUCCUGCCCUCUGUG